rnacentral:rRNA from 1 species
GACAGAGGGUGCAAACGUUGUUCGGAAUUACUGGGCGUAAAGCGCGUGUAGGCUGCUCGGAAAGUCGGGUGUGAAAGCCCUGGGCUCAACCUAGGAAGUGCACUCGAAACUUCCGAGCUGGAGUGCUGGAGAGGAAGGCGGAAUUCUCGGUGUAGAGGUGAAAUUCGUAGAUAUUAGGAAGAACACCAGUGGCGAAGGCGGCUCACUGGCCCGGUACUGACGCUGAGGCGCGAAAGCGUGGGGAGCAAACAGG